CACCUUCGUUAACAUAGAAUGCAUAGCGUUCUUCUAAAAAAAUAACGCUUUCGGGAUGAAGCCCAUCUUGCUCAGCGAAGAAGAUGAAUGCGAAGAUGAUGACAAUGGAGAUUCAUAUUCAAUAUUUCAAGUAUCGGAUUGGGGAUUCACCAGAAAACUUGUCUCCUUGGUGCUAUAUAUUUUCGAAGGUUUGUUGACGGACAAUCUUUUUUAAGUUGAGCUGAUUCUUUGAGUUAUAAUUUCACACUCUUUUCUAAUAAACUGUCUUGAGUGAUAAUUUGAAUUGAUUUGGUUCUCUUGUCUCGUUAUAUACUUGAUUAUUUCUGUGUUUAUCAUACUUGGUUUUGCUUUCAUGGUUGCCAUUCUUCAGAAAUAUUAAGUUCAAAUUGAAAUACUAUAAGUAGAUUCAGUUAUCACACACACAUGAAGAUGAGGGCCCAUGAGUCGUAGCUCAAGGGAAAGGAUGGGAUGAGGUGAAAUGUAGAUUCUAGGUUCAAUUCUCCGUGUAAUUGAAUUAUAAAAGUUUGAGCAUAAGGUCAUAUGUUCGAUUGUCCCCUUUUCACCCCACUAUUGCUUGUAUCAAAAAAAGAAAAAAAAGAAAAUACCAUUGAUGCACACGAACAACAUUGGCAUAUGGGUUCUUUGAGUGGUUGGGCCUAUCUGCAAUCCAUUACUGAAGAGAAAUAGAGGCAUGGAGAGAGAGCCAUCAGUCCUUGAAGCUUGAUUGGAAGCUUGGUUGGGUUUAGGCAUUUAACCGCAAAAUAAAUAUUAUUUUUCAUGACGAAUUUAGAGGAUGGCAAGGCCAGAAGGAAAUCAAGACAAACUUGAUGAAGGGUCAAUGAGCAGUAGUGUGCACCCUUAAACUUGAUGAGGUUUACUACUAGAAAACCUCUUAAAGUUUAUUCCCAUUAGACACACGUCUAUUCUAUUUCUAGACCAUUUUGGAGUCCUAGUUGAUCUUAGCGACAUGUAUAUUUGUGAUUUGCUUUUAGUGAAAAGAAUACGCUUGAUUUGCUCUC